rnacentral:tRNA from 1 species
GGGAUGGUGGCUCAGCGGUAGAGUGCUUGCUUUGCAAGCAUGAGGCCCUGGGUUUCAUUCCU